rnacentral:tRNA from 3 species
UCCCCUGUAGCUCAACUGGUAGAGCAUGCGGCUGUUAACCGCAGGGUUCGAGGUUCAAGCCCUCGCGGGGGAGCCA